GAGUUUGAUCUUGGCUCAAAAUGAACGCUGGCGGCAUGCCUAACACAUGCAAGUCGAACGAAGGCUUCGGCCUUAGUGGCGCACGGGUGCGUAACGCGUGGGAAUCUGCCCUUGGGUUCGGAAUAACAGUUAGAAAUGACUGCUAAUACCGGAUGAUGUCGUAAGACCAAAAGAUUUAUCGCCCAAAGGAUGAGCCCGCGUAGGAUUAGCUAGUUGUGGGUAAAGGCCCACAAGGCGACGAUCCUUAGCUGGUCUGAGAGGAUGAUCAGCCACACUGGGACUGAGACACGGCCCAGAC
rnacentral:rRNA from 1 species